CAACUACACCACUCUUCCUCUGCACAGGUUUUGAUAAAUUUCCCCAACUGUCCUUCAGAAGACAGAUACAGCAGUACUGGUACAUUGUGUGGUCAAAUGCACUUUGAAUAAGAAAAUGCAUGAAAACUGCAUGUAGUGUGAAUUGACCCCAACCCACUUGUGAGUCCAAUGAGUUUACCAAGGUGAUUUCCAGCACUAGCAACCUUAUGCGAUGACCAGCAACAAUAAUCAAUUGCCCCAGCCAAAGCCAGAGGAUUUAAGCAGCAUUAUCAGACUUCUAAAAAAUCGCCAGUGGCUCAACAUACUGCGAUUACCGAGGAUCUGAAAAACACCAACAAAGAGUGAAAAAACGCCAAAAGGAUUGAAAAAAAAUGUCAAAGUGAAAAACGCCAAGUGGAAUAAGAAUUUAGCGAUUUCUCAUUGAUUUACAGCUAGAAACUGAGCCUAAAUGUGACAACCUUUAGAAUCCUUAAUCUGUCAGACCAAGAUAACGCAGAAACAGCUGAAUGAGGCAUGGAGGGUAGAAUAUGGAUAUACUAUAUUUUGCAGCUCCUAAUAUAUAUAUACUGUCAAGUGACCACUUUUUGAAUGCUCCUAAUGCUACUUCAUAAAACGUUUAGAUAUCUUAACUUUAUGCUUUCAUUGUCAGUGUAUAAAUACCCUAUAUGAAAAAUGUUUUAUCCAUAUCAUCUUAUUUUUGUUUCACUACUUUCAGCAAUAUAACUAAUGCAUGGUUAGUGAACCAUAGUGAGGCUUUUGUACAUAAUUAAACUUUCUGAUUUUGAAAUCAUCCAGAUGACAUACAUUAGUUUUGACAUAUGGGAUAUGCACUGAGCACAACAUCAAAUAUGUAGCAAUGUAAGCAUCAUUUUCAUAACAAUCACAUCUUUGUCAUGGUUCAAACAACUGCGAGCCAUAUUACAUUGUAAGGGAGCUGUCUUCUAUCUAUGGAAAUGUAGCUGCAAAAUAGACAUUGGGGAUCCUGACUAUGUUUAUCACUCAGUCUCUAAAAUAUAGUGUAUAUAACUACUUUUUGUUAGUUGGAGGAUUAAAGGAUGUUUCCAGUUUGUGUGACUUCUUUGUACAGACCACAGAAUAGCAGACACUUACUAAGAAGUAUGAAGAAAAGUUAACCUUGCACACCACAGCAGUGUCGAGAUAUUUGACUCAACUGUGUACUGGCUUCAGAGUCAGUUAUUGAUGACUGUGUACUAGCUGCUUGUAGCACUUUUGAUAUUUUUUUGCUCAUAAAAC